AGAGUUUGAUCCUGGCUCAGAUUGAACGCUGGCGGCAGGCUUAACACAUGCAAGUCGAGCGAGAAAAUACCCUCGGGAGGCGUCAAGUGGCGGACGGGUGAGUAACGCGUAGGAAUCUGCCCAGUAGUGGGGAACAACCAGGGGAAACCCUGGCUAAUACCGCAUACACUCUACGGAGAAAAGGAGGCCUCUUCUUGAAAUCGCGCUAUCAGAUGAGCCUGCGUUAGAUUAGCUAGUUGGUAGGGUAAAGGCCUACCAAGGCGACGAUCUCUAGCUGGUCUGAGAGGACGAUCAGCCACACUGGGACUGAGACACGGCCCAGACUCCUACGGGAGGCAGCAGUGGGGAAUAUUGGACAAUGGGCGCAAGCCUGAUCCAGCGAAUACGGCGUGUGUGAAGAAGGCCUAAGGGUUGUAAAGCACUUUCAAUAGUGACGAAAUGUCUUGUUUAAUACGCUUGGGUCUUGACUUAACCUAUGCAAGAAGCACCGGCUAACUCCGUGCCAGCAGCCGCGGUAAUACGGAGGGAGCUAGCGUUGUUCGGAAUUACUGGGCGUAAAGCGCACGUAGGUGGUUUAUUAAGUCAGAUGUGAAAGCCCCGGGCUCAACCUGGGAACUGCAUUUGAAACUGGUAAGCUAGAGUAUGGUAGAGGUAAGUGGAAUUCCAGGUGUAGCGGUGAAAUGCGUAGAUAUCUGGAGGAACAUCAGUGGCGAAGGAGAACUACUGGACCAAUACUGACACUGAGGUGCGAAAGCGUGGGGUAGCAAACAGGAUUAGAUACCCUGGUAGUCCACGCCGUAAACGAUGUCAACUAGCCGUUGGACUCCUUGAGGGUUUAGUGGCGCAGCUAACGCGAUAAGUUGACCGCCUGGGGAGUACGGUCGCAAGAUUAAAACUCAAAUGAAUUGACGGGGGCCCGCACAAGCGGUGGAGCAUGUGGUUUAAUUCGAUGCAACGCGAAGAACCUUACCUACCCUUGACAUACAGAGAACUUUCUAGAGAUAGAUUGGUGCCUUCGGGAACUCUGAUACAGGUGCUGCAUGGCUGUCGUCAGCUCGUGUCGUGAGAUGUUGGGUUAAGUCCCGUAACGAGCGCAACCCUUGUCCUUAUUUGCCAGCACGUAAUGGUGGGAACUCUAAGGAGACUGCCGGUGAUAAACCGGAGGAAGGUGGGGACGACGUCAAGUCAUCAUGGCCCUUAUGGGUAGGGCUACACACGUGCUACAAUGGCCGGUACAGAGGGCUGCAAACUUGCGAGAGUAAGCUAAUCCCUUAAAGCCGGUCCUAGUCCGGAUUGGAGUCUGCAACUCGACUCCAUGAAGCUGGAAUCGCUAGUAAUCGCGGAUCAGAAUGCCGCGGUGAAUUCGUUCCCGGGCCUUGUACACACCGCCCGUCACACCAUGGGAGUGGGUUGCAAAAGAAGUGGGUAGGCUAACCUUCGGGAGGCCGCUCACCACUUUGUGAUUCAUGACUGGGGUGAAGUCGUAACAAGGUAGCCA
rnacentral:rRNA from 1 species